rnacentral:rRNA from 1 species
GUGGGGAAUUUUGGACAAUGGGCGCAAGCCUGAUCCAGCAAUGCCGCGUGCAGGAAGAAGGCCUUCGGGUUGUAAACUGCUUUUGUACGGAACGAAACGGUCCUGGCUAAUAUCCGGGGCUAAUGACGGUACCGUAAGAAUAAGCACCGGCUAACUACGUGCCAGCAGCCGCGGUAAUACGUAGGGUGCGAGCGUUAAUCGGAAUUACUGGGCGUAAAGCGUGCGCAGGCGGUGCUGUAAGACAGGCGUGAAAUCCCCGGGCUCAACGUGGGAACUGCAUUGGUGACUGCAAGGCUGGAGUGCGGCAGAGGGGGAUGGAAUUCCGCGUGUAGCAGUGAAAUGCGUAGAUAUGCGGAGGAACACCGAUGGCGAAGGCAAUCCCCUGGGCCUGCACUGACGCUCAUGCACGAAAGCGUGGGGAGCAAACAGGAUUAGAAACCCCGGUAGUCC